CCUACGGGUGGCAGCAGUGAGGAAUAUUGGUCAAUGGCCGAGAGGCUGAACCAGCCAAGUCGCGUGAGGGAUGAAUGCCCUAUGGGUUGUAAACCUCUUUUGUCAGGGAGCAAAGUCCCCCACGUGUGCGUGUUGGCGAGUACCUUAAGAAAAAGCAUCGGCUAACUCCGUGCCAGCAGCCGCGGUAAUACGGAAGGUGCGAGCGUUAUCCGGAUUUAUUGGGGUUAAAGGGUGCGUAGGCGGGUUAUUAAGUCCGGCGUGAAAAUGUAGGGCUUAACCCUCGAACUGCAGUGGAAACUGGGGAUCUGGAGUGCGCGAGAAGUAUGCGGAAUGCGUGGUGUAGCGGUGAAAUGCGUAGAUAUCACGAAGAACACCGAUUGCGAAGGCAGCAUACCGGAGUGUAACUGACGUUGAGGCACGAAAGCGUGGGUAGCGAACAGGAUUAGAUACCCGUGUAGUC
rnacentral:rRNA from 1 species